rnacentral:rRNA from 1 species
AAGCGGGGAUUUUUUUAUAAGACGAGAAGACCCCAUGGAGCUUUAAACCCGAUGACACCCCCGCCCCAUCUAUACCCACGUAUUCGUUGGGGGCCUGUUCACUCGGUUUUAGGUUGGGGUGACCGCGGAGUAAAACAAAACCUCCACGAAGAAUGGGCUUACCCCCUUAUCCAAGAGAUACAUCUCUAAGAAUUAGUAAACUAAUAUCUAAUGAUCCGAUUUUUCGAUCAACGAACCAAGUUACCCUGGGGAUAACAGCGCAAUCCACUUCAAGAGCUCAUAUCGACAAGUGGGUUUACGACCUCGAUGUUGGAUCAGGGUAUCCCAGUGGUGCAGCAGCUACUAACGGUUCGUUUGUUCAACGAUUAAAACCCUACGUGAUCU